GAUGAACGCUGGCGGCGUGCCUAAUACAUGCAAGUCGAGCGAAUGGAUUAAGAGCUUGCUCUUAUGAAGUUAGCGGCGGACGGGUGAGUAACACGUGGGUAACCUGCCCAUAAGACUGGGAUAACUCCGGGAAACCGGGGCUAAUACCGGAUAACAUUUUGAACCGCAUGGUUCGAGAUUGAAAGGCGGCUUCGGCUGUCACUUAUGGAUGGACCCGCGUCGCAUUAGCUAGUUGGUGAGGUAACGGCUCACCAAGGCAACGAUGCGUAGCCGACCUGGGAGGGUGGUCGGCCACACUGGGACUGAGACACGGCCCAGACUCCUACGGGAGGCAGCAGUAGGGAAUCUUCCGCAAUGGACGAAAGUCUGACGGGGCAACGCCGCGUGAGUGAUGAAGGCUUUCGGGUCGUAAAACUCUGUUGUUAGGGAAGAACAAGUGCUAGUUGAAUAAGCUGGCACCUUGACGGUACCUAACCAGAAAGCCACGGCUAACUACGUGCCAGCCGCCGCCGUAAAAC
rnacentral:rRNA from 1 species